GGCCUGCUAGCUCAGUCGGUUAGAGCGUCGGUGCUAAUAACGCGAAGGUCGUAGGUUCGAUCCCUGCGCAGGCCA
rnacentral:tRNA from 1 species